UGUUGUAGGAAAGGGACUGAAACUUUUAGGAGGCUUUUGAGCCCACUAAGGUCCCUGUAGGAUGGGAAAAACAGAUGUGUGCCCUUGUGUGCUGGAAGUUACUGGAAGUCCUGAGGGCUAAGGCAGGAAGAAAGUGAGAAGACAACCCAGUGGGGUUUUGAUCCCAAUCAUGGCUAGCCACAGAAAUCCAUUAUACAGUGUGAGAACACAGCAGUGGGCGGAACCCGUCCCCAGCUCCAUGGCAAUAAAAGCCACGUUUUUGCACGGAGGAUCAUCUGGCCACGCCUCUUCCUGUGGCAGCACAAAAUCAAACACGUGUACAGAAACAUGUGGUUCUGCAGCCCUGCUGCCCAUGGCAUGUGGACUGCUGUGCUAGAACCAAUGUCCUUUCAAGCCCCUGAGCCUCCCUGUUUAAUUAAACCGGAGAAGACGCUGGAAGGGAUGCUGUCUGUCCUGUAACAGCCUUUCUGUCCUGUAACAGCGUGCCACAGUAAUGGCAUAAGCAAGGGACGAGACAGAGUGAGGGGCCGCAGCAAUUCAGAGCAUGGACGCCAUGUGGCUGGAGACGGGAGGAAGGAGCCCCCUGUGAGCGGCGUGGAUAGAGCCGACUCAUGAGACCUGGCCUGUGACAGCCGUAGUAAUGACGAGGCUGGAACCACUGUGGAUGGCCUCACAGAAAAGGGUAAGUGCAGGGUCAGCCGCAGUGAGGACAGCCCAUGUACACAGGCACGUACGACAGAAUCCAGUGUGAGUCAGAGGCCCCUGGGAGUUUUCCGUGUGGCAACCCACAGCCCACUAAGUCCUCCAGGGAACCAAGAAACAGGUGUCCUUACUGAAAUCCAGACUGCCCUCAGGUACCGCGGAGGCCAUUCCCUGGGCUCAUACAACGUCUGGCCACGGAUGAAGCCAUGUAAGCCGGAAAGCAGCCAAGGCUUCUGGCAUUCCUGUGAAAUGUCCUGAUGCUCUGUACGCAGUCCAGGCAUGUGAGGGAGGUCUGCUCCCGAUUACAGCCGCCGUAAACAGAAGACAGAGGCGAAUGUGAGAAUCUGCGUGUCCGGUUACAGCACUGGUACAGGACCCCUGUCUGUAAGUGGGACAUGAAGAUGCGCCCUGUGUGGGUACUGCAUAGCCCCCUGGAAGCACUUCCAUGCCAGCAGGCAACAGAUGGUUCCUGUCGCUCAGCCAUCCCAGUCCUACCCCUCCACACACAGCUCCACAAUGGCUGGAAUGCAGGGGACUCAGUGUAAGGGACCAGGCAGACAGCUGUGGACCCCUCAGUCCAAGGACCAGCGCCCUUCUCCUCACGCCACGGCCAUGUCAGAGGAGCAGCAGAUGGCAGUUGACUUCAGGGCGUCAGCCCAUCAAGAGUCGAAUCCCUGAUGGGUGAAUCUCCUCCGACAGACAAGGCCCCGAGACCACAGACCCCGGAAUGCCUUUUGCUUCUGCUCUGCCCUCGCAUGUUUGCGGCUGCCAUCUUUCUCCGGGAUCUGGCGCGGUGUGGAUGGGUGUGGGGAGCAGAGCUGGCUGUUUUUCAUGUAUA